AUCUAAUUGGCAGACUAAUGCAUUAAGUUUAAGUCUUAAAUAUAAUUAAUCUUGAUA
rnacentral:tRNA from 1 species